UAUCACCGACAAACUCAAACUCAAAACCUUUUCGUCGAAAAAGACGAACUUAACUGAUUAAACUAAUCACUUAUUGGUAUUUGUAUCAUAUUUCGAAUUAUCAUUAAUACUCUCCAAAUGGGCUUACAUUUACCUCGAUAAUCGCAGUUAGGGUCCGGCAAGGGUUGCCCCUUGAAUUUGUCUUAUUUUAUGUCGAAUUUGAAACUCAAAAUAUUCUACCCUUAGACUAUAUCUAAAUUAUUUGAUCCAAAGAAAAAGAAAAAUUGAACUUCAUUCUUUGGCAACUCGUGUGUUUAAAGCAGUUUGAGUAUUUUUUAUAGGUAUUUUAUCCAUCUGUGGCGUGCACUUGCUUUGGUGAUAGGCAAAGAUGGUUUCCUGCUUUCCAUCCACACCCAAGAAGCUAGCUAUGACUGUGGGGUGCUUCAUUGCUGGUGCAGGCCUUUUCGCAAUCGGUAAACAUCUCUCUUAUGUACACGUUGCUCCUCAGCAAGCACGAACUAAAGCUCGAGAUGAUUUUGUCAAGGAGAGGUUAAGAAAGAAAUAUGGCAAACCAUAGAGUUGCCCUUGUUGCUCCAUUUACCUUGGUUUUAUUCACAUUCUCUGCUCUCAUCUUGUGCUUAUAGUAAUAAGAACUGGCAUUAGGAUGUCACUUUGGUUUAGGCUCUACAUGCAGUGUCCCAGGGUUUCUUUCAAGCUUUAGCAUUGGCAUUGGCUCCAAUCAUUGUACAUGAUAAUCAGUCAUUUGAGCAAAACUGAAACCUUCUUUAUUCGCAUUGAAUUUUGCACAAAUUUGGUGCCACUUUUUUUUUUUAAUACAAAAAAAACUUGUAUCUGAUUAUUAUUAAAAUUUUAAUUCCUAUCAUUAUCAUAUUUUUUUUAUGAUUUUUGUGUUAUACCAUCGUAUCAUUUUAAAUUGCUAAAUCUUGUUAUAAUAUGCUCGAGUAGAAAUCUAGUUUAUAAUACCACUUGCUAGAUAAAGCAAAGGAGUUAAGCAAGUAAAAACUAACUUUAAAUACAAAAACAGUACUUAUAAAGUUAAAGAUCAUCUAACUUCAAAUA